GUUUUUAUGCUUCGGCAAUACAUAUACUAAAUUUGGAACAAUACAGAGAUUAGCAUGGCUCCAACGCAAAGAUAACACGCAUAUUCGUGAAGCGUUCCAUAUUUUU